rnacentral:lncRNA from 1 species
GACAUAAGCUGAGUGCUAGGACAGAUAAAUACUUAUUUGUAUAUUAUCCUAAAAAGAAUAUAAGAUAUCUCUUUUACCACCCUACUGAAUAAAAGAUUUUUAUUAGUAAAUAUGCCAUUUUUAUGAAAAAAGAGUUUAUCCUAAAAAGAGGUAGUGGGAAGAAAAUUAAACUUAGAAAAGUUCAAGACCUACAAAUGCAAGCACAAGAUGAUUCUCAAUCAAAAAUAUCUAUUAAUGAAGUACAACCAUAAAAUACACCUCUCUGAAGGUCGGAUAGAGUGCGGAAUGCACCUAUAAGGUAUGAGUUCGUUAUUGAGAAUAAUAAAGCCCACAUCAUUGAGAAUGAUAAACUUUUGACCUAUAUGGAAGCCAUUAUGAGUAGGGA